rnacentral:rRNA from 1 species
ACGGGUAACGGAGAAUAAGGGUUCGACUCCGGAGAGGGAGCCUGAGAAACGGCUACCACAUCCAAGGAAGGCAGCAGGCGCGCAAAUUACCCACUCUCGGCAUGAGGAGGUAGUGACGAAAAAUAACGAGACCGUUCUCUAUGAGGCCGGUUAUCGGAAUGGGUACAAUUUAAACCCGUUAACGAGGAUCUAUGAGAGGGCAAGUCUGGUGCCAGCAGCCGCGGUAAUUCCAGCUCUCAAAGUGUAUAUCGUCAUUGCUGCGGUUAAAAAGCUCGUAGUUGGAUCUGCGCCUCAGGACUCGGUCCGCCCGACUGGGUGUGAACUGGGCUCCUGGGCUAAUACUGCUGGUUUUCCCUGCGUUGCCUUCAUCGGUCGCGUAGGGUGGCUGGCGAGUUUACUUUGAAAAAAUUAGAGUGCUUCAAGCGGGCUAUUGUCUGAAUACUCGUGCAUGGAAUAAUAGAAUAGGAUCUCGGCACUAUUUUGUUGGUUUUCUGAUCUGAGAUAAUGGUUAAGAGGGACGGACGGGGGCAUUCGUAUCGCUGCGUGAGA